GCGAGAAACCUUUGCAAUGUGCGCAAGCACGACAAGGUUAAUCCGAGUGUUUCCUGCUAAAGGAAUCUUUUGUUAGUUCUAAAACCACUGAUGAAUAAGAGGUGGGCAAGUUCUGGUGUCAGCCGCCGCGGUAAAACCAGCACCUCAAGUGGUCAGGAGGAUUAUUGGGCCUAAAGCAUCCGUAGCCGGUUCUGUAAGUUUUCGGUUAAAUCCACUAGCUUAACUAAUGGGCUGCCGAAAAUACUGCAGAACUAGGGAGUGGGAGAGGUAGACGGUACUCGGUAGGAAGGGGUAAAAUCCUUUGAUCUAUUGAUGACCACCUGUGGCGAAGGCGGUCUACCAGAACACGUUCGACGGUGAGGGAUGAAAGCUGGGGGAGCAAACAGGAUUAGAUACCCAUGUAGUCCCUGAGCGGGCUGGCAAGGCGCAU
rnacentral:rRNA from 1 species